rnacentral:ribozyme from 1 species
CUAAAAAAAAAAUGAAAAAAAAAAAAAAAGAUAGAAAACCGGCCCA